rnacentral:lncRNA from 1 species
CUACUCUGGAGGCUGAGUCAGAGAAUUGCUUAAACCUGGGAGGCGGAGGUUGCAGUGAUCCCAGAUCGCGCCACUGCGCUCUAGCAUGGGCGACAAAGCGAGACCCCAUCUCAAAAAGAAAAACAAAAUUUUUUUGCAGAGUAUCUACUGUGUGUCAAGUACAUUACCCAAGACUACAAAGAGAAAUACAAUUUAGCUAAUGUCCUCAAGAAGCUAACAGUAUACUAAAAGAGAUAUGUAGGCAUCAAUUAUAGUAAUGACAUAACAUAUUCUAAUAGAGGUAAGUACAUAACACAGUGGGCAUGUCUAGUUGUCUUUGUUUCUGCUGUUAAAACAGAAUAUCACAGACUGGGUGAUGGGUUGAUUGAUUGACUGAUUGAGGCAACUCUGUCACCCAGGCUGGGGUUCAGUGGCAUGAUCACAGUUCACUGCAGCCUCAACCUCCCUGGAUCAAGCAAUCCUCCUGCCUCAGCCUCCUGAACAGCUGGAACUACAGGUGUGAGCCACCAUGCCCCACUAAUUUUUAUUUAUUUAUUUUUUUUUUCUGAGACGGAGUCUCAGUUUGUCGCCCAGGCUGAAGUGCAGUGGCACAAUCUCAGCUCACUGCAACCUCCACCUCCCGGGUUCAGUUUUCCUGCCUCAAUCUACUAGGAUCUAGCUAGGAUUACAGGUGUGCGCCACCAUGCCCAGCUAAUUUUUGUAUUUUUAGUAGAGACGGGGUUUCACCAUGUUGGUCAGGCUGGUCUCAAACUCCUGACCUCAUGAUCUGCCCACCUCGGCCUCCCAAAGUGCUGGGAUUACAGGCGUAAGCCACCGCGCCCAGCUAAUUUUUAAAAAUAUUUUAUAGAGACAGGUCUCACUAUGUUGCCCAGGCUCGUCUUGAACCCCUGGGCCCAGGCGCUCCUCCCACCUUGACCUCCCAAAGUUCUGGAAUUACACAUGUGAGCCAACACACCAGGCCCAGACUGGGUAAUUUAUAAAGAAAUUUACUUCUGCCCACACCGCCCCGCCUCCCCGCGCGAGUGGCUGAGGCGUAGCGCUGCCAUCCCCGCACCCCUGGGAACAUGGCGCUGCGAGUGGUGCGGAGCGUGCGGGCCGUGCUCUGCAGCCUGCACGUGGUCCUGGCACCUGCCGCGCCCUGCCUAUCGAGGCCCUGGCAGCUUGGGAUGGGCGCCGUCUGGUUACUGUAAUCUGCCUGAAGUUGGGACAAAAUUGAACAAACAAGAUGAGUUUGGUGCUUUGGAGAGUGUGAAAGCUGCUAGUGAACUCUAUUCUCCUUUAUCAGGAGAAGUAACCGAAAUUAAUGAAGCUCUUGCAGAAAAUCCAGGACUUGUAAACAAAUCUCGUUAUGAAGAUGGUUGGCUGAUCAAGAUGACACUGAGUAACCCUUCAUAACUAGAUGAACUUAUGAGUGAAGAAGCAUAUGAGAAAUACAUAAAAUCUAUUGAGGAGUGAAAAUGGAACCACUAAAUAAGCUAGUAUGAAAUAACGCAACCCAGCAGAGUUGUCCUAAAUUAGUGGUGGAUAGAAGACUUAGAAUAGCAACUUUUAGCAUUACCCAUGGGAAAAAAAAACUACUGUUAACACUGCUAAUGAAAGAAGAUGCCUUUUAACUUUCUAAUGAUUGUAGAUAAACAUAAUAUGUGUCUUUUUCACAACAUCCUAUGAUUUUUAGACUAGGCUCUAGUAUUCAUGAAAUUAUCCAUGAAAUUAUCCAUGGUAAAAAUUAGUUACAAAAAUUACAUAAUUCAAAGAUAAUGUUGUUAUUCUUAAGCCUUAUAUAAUAUUGUAACUUGUGUAUGUCCAUACCUGGACUUGGGAUGAAAUACUUAAUGAUCUUUCCAUUGGAAAUAACUGGGAGUGAAGAAGUUUUUGUUGCUUGUACAGUGUCAGAUGAAGAACAACACUAUCUUAAUUUUGCAAUACACUGCAUUUGCUGGUGCUGUUUUUAUAUAGUGAAGCAACAGCUGUACAGCAAAAUAAUAAAAUACUCACUUCUUCGUU